rnacentral:rRNA from 1 species
AAAAAAGUCAAAACUCUUUUAAUUAAAAGCGCCCGUGUUGACCCUGAUAAACUUAUUAUUUAGUUGGGGAAACAAAAAAAAAAUUUUUUAAUCUAAAUAAAAACCAAAACUUUAAUAUAAAAUAAAGACUAGUUACUACAGGGAUAACAGCGUUAUUUCUUUUUAGAGCCCUAAUCCAAAAAGAAGAUUACGACCUCGAUGUUGAAUUAAUUUACCUACAAUGGUGCAAUAACUUUAAAAGGUAGUCUGUUCGACUAUUAAAAAAUU